GUCCAGCCACCCGGCUUCCACCCCCCCCCCCUCCCCUCCCGGAGGUUCAAGUUUCUGCGCCCGGAGGACGCGGCCUCGGCCAAUCCCCGGGCUACAGGGCGCUUUUAAAAUGCAGGAAGCCGGCGGUUCAGGGACAGCUGCCUAGAACCUCUGAUGUCUCCGUGGGACGGGUGGA
rnacentral:lncRNA from 1 species